UACGAAGGGUGCAAGCGUUAAUCGGAAUUACUGGGCGUAAAGGGUGCGUAGGCGGUUCGUUAAGUCUGUCGUGAAAUCCCCGGGCUCAACCUGGGAAUGGCGAUGGAUACUGGCGAGCUAGAGUGUGUCAGAGGAUGGUGGAAUUCCCGGUGUAGCGGUGAAAUGCGUAGAGAUCGGGAGGAACAUCCGUGGCGAAGGCGGCCAUCUGGACCAGCACUGACACUGAGGCACGAAAGCGUGGGGAGCAAACAGG
rnacentral:rRNA from 1 species